rnacentral:misc_RNA from 1 species
GUAGGUGAACCUGCGGAAGGAUCAUUAUCGAGUUUUGAAGUGGGCUUCUUGAUGCUGGCAUGCAGGUGCUCAGAGGUCCCGCUCUCAUCCACUCAACCCCUGUGCACACUUGAGAGCGAGGUCGGUCGUCGGCGCAAGCCUUCGACUUGCUUCGUUUCUUAUUACAAACACUUUUUAUUGUCUUGUCGAAUGCAAUGCCUCGUAGUGGGCGAAAUGUUAAUACAACUUUCAACAACGGAUCUCUUGGCUCUC